GCCCAGUGCGCCACCGAGAGCCCGGGGCGGGGGGCCGCCCUGUGCCCUGCAGGGCCGCGGGGCCGCGUAGCUUUCUCGGUGCGGCGGGCAAGUGCUGCCCUGCGUCGGGGCGUCCCGCGCCGUCGGUCCCAGCGUGCCCGGCCGCUGCCUCCCGGGGUACCCCGCGCUGCGCGCAUCCCUCGGGCUCGGCGCCCGCCCCGGGCCCCUCCAGCCGCGGGCGCUGCCUCGGCCCCCGGGGGGAUGCGCCUCCGCUGCGGGAGCUGACGGCCUGAGUCCUGCUGCCCCUCCAGAUCCCAGUCCAGCUAUAGCCCCCAUCAUGGCUGAGGGAGGGGUACCCUUGCCAGGGCCUGGUGCCUACUUCAGCAGGAAAGCCCGACUCUCCUUCCGCCACCAGCUGCAUGACAUAGCAUCGGCCAAUGACUCCACCAUUUGAAGGGGAUGGCGAGGAGCUGACCCUCCAGGAAGGCUUAGCAAGCUUCCUUCCCCAGAUUUCUCAGCGAUCCUAAUGUCCACCUCCCCAAGUCCUUUCUAACCUUCUCAUUAAAUGUGUUCAUAGUUGCUAA
rnacentral:sRNA from 1 species